UAUGUGAUCGUCUCUCGCAUAUCAAUAAGCGGAGGAAAAGAAACUAACAAGGAUUCCCCUAGUAACGGCGAGUGAAGCGGGAAGAGCUCAAAUUUGAAAUCUUAAAGGGUUUCCCUUUACGAAUUGUAGUUUAAAGAAGUGUUUUCUGUUGAGGUUUUGGUAAAAGUUCUUUGGAAUAGGACAUCAUAGAGGGUGAGAAUCCCGUAUUUGACCUUUACUUUCAACUUUGUGAUACACUUUCAAAGAGUCGGAUUGUUUGGGAAUGCAGUCCCAAAAUGGGUGGUAAAUUUCAUCUAAAGCUAAAUAUUGGCGAGAGACCGAUAGCGAACAAGUACCGUGAGGGAAAGAUGAAAAGAACUUUGAAAAGAGAGUUAAACAGUACGUGAAAUUGUCAAAAGGGAAGCGUUUGACACCAGUGUUGUUUUUCUGAAAAUCAAUUAAAGAACUGUUUAUGCUAAGCUGUUUAGACUUUAUCAGCUAUCUGUUUAGUUUUGAGCUUUUCUUUAAUGCACUUUUCAGUUAACAAGUCAACAUCAAUUUCUUUUGCUGUAAAAAAGCUUGAGGAAGGUGGCUUGAGAUUCGUCUUAAGUGUUUAUAGCCUCUUGCCUAUGCAGUCGGAGAGAUUGAGGUCUGCAGCGUAGAUCCUUCGGGGCUAAAUGCAUUUGUGCUAAGUUAUAGCAUUUUAUAGACAACUUGUUGACUAUGAUUUGUCUUGUAGCUUACUCGCUUAUGUUAUUUUACCUACGCUUAGGAUGUUGAUAUGCAUGACUGAUAU
rnacentral:rRNA from 1 species